UCUAAUAUGGCAGAAUAGUGCAAUGAAUUUAAGAUUCAUAUAUAAAGAAUAAUCUUUUAUUAGAA
rnacentral:tRNA from 1 species